UUUAACCAAAUUUUUUCCAUCUCCUCCGGUGGCUACAAGUACAAUGAUCAACUUUGAGUCCUAUGUCUGGGAGAUCAACUUUGAGGAUCCGAAGCUCGGUGACCUCCUCGCCACAUGAUUCGUGUACUCGGCCAGCGUAGUGGAGUCGAUCCUCGACUCGUCGCGCGAGGACAGUUACGAAAAACAUGCCUUCGUCGAGCUAGGGUUUGAUUGGAACGAGACCUUUGACUUCAAAGUCGCGUUCACCGAUCACGAGAAGUAUGUCUACCAUGAGCAUGUGAAGGAAUUUGGUGACUCUGCCAUCGCUGAAGAAUAUGAAAUCGACAUUCAUCUUACCGCCAACGCUUUCAUCAAACGGCAAUGACGACGUCGAUUGUUCUUCCGCCGCCUUUACCUCCUUCAUCGACAACGAAAUCAGUCUUGGCAACGCGUGGAGCAAAUUCUACUCGACGACAAGCAUCCCAAACCCAACAACGGUGCUCCUACCUUCGGCUUCGAUUCUUAUGGUAGUUGAACAAUUUUGACAAGCUUUGGAGAUUUCACCACAGUGUGUGCCUGCACAAUAUGGACUUGCUUUGGGGCUGCUUGGUUUGGCAAAAAGACUGCAUCAAUCUAGGAGCAUAUAGAUGGGGGGCUUCACUGUUACAGGUUUUUCUCUUCAAUAUUUUGUCUUUAAUAAUUAUUAUGUUGUUUUUUAUUAAGUUUUCAAUGCUUUUGUUGCUUUUAUAAAUUCUUUUAGAAGGCUUCUGAUGCAAAUAUGUUACAAGCUUCUCAAGAGGUUCAAGAUUUAGAUGUAGACAACCUUUUGUUUAUUUCUCAAAUUCUGUGUGGAGACUAAGUGUAGUUAUCAAACAUUGUUAUUGCUUAUGCAUUAAUGGCACAUUAAAUAGUAAUUAGAGGAAGAGUUUGUGUAACAAGAGGAACAAGCUUUAUUGGUUCAUGGAUUAUCAAGAACCUCCUUCAAGAUGGUUACUUUGUUAACACCACUGAGAAAUAACUCAGGUAGUAAAAGCAACCCCAUUUGUGUUACAUAAACAUUUUCAGAAUGAAAAAAAAAACUUUUGAAUCCACUUUUUAAUAUUGGUUGAAAUUCCAUUGAAAAAAAAAUUCUAAUGGAUGAUUAUAUGUUACUUCUUACUUGUUAUGAUCCACCAUAAUGAUACUUAAAAUUCUAUUGGAGCGCAUUACACUGUGUGCUUAGUGCUGAGAUUUUUUCUUGUCAUAGUGCAGUAAAUUACUUCACUUUUUAGUUAGUGAAUAGUAGACCACCUCCGUCAAUUGUGACCUUGGUAGCUUUGGUGAAUUGAAAUGAUGCUCAGGGAAAUCUGAGGUUUCAUUGAAUAGGAGCACAGUAAAAUCUAUGUGUGGAAAUGGUCCUGUUUGCAGGGACUCAAUCCUUUGAUGUUCAUGUUUGUUGUACUUGGGAAUACCACUUAUGUAGCCAUGUAUUAACACUGGUAAUACUCCUGCUAAGCUAUUUGUUGUGGAUGAGUUACUUCUUGUGAUAGUAUACAUGAUGGAUAUUAAAUUGGCAGAAAAUUUGCUCUCUACAGUAUAUCAAUGACCUUUUUGUUACUAGCAAGAAGAUAACUAAGUAUUUAAAUUUGACAAUGUGAUUAGUCUAAACCUUCUCUGUUAUGCUUCCUCUGUCUGCCACAAAAAGCAAGCAAAUUAAUAUCAAAAAGAUCAUCACAAAUGGACAACUCUUCCUUAUAAAGCAACUUUUAAUUUUAAGUGAGCAGGUAAUUCUGUCAGUCUUCUUAGUGAAGUUUUAUAGGCUUCAUUAGAUAGGAAUGAUGACCAUAAAAGAUGUCCUAAACAUAGUAUGCUGCUUCACUUUGUUUUAGUCAUUCACAAUCCUAAGAGAAAAAGUUCCUUUAAAUCUAGUUUUUAAUAUUUUUCUUGUGCACAGAACAAUUGGUUGAAUCUGUUUUGAGCAAGGUUUUAGAGGAGUUUGACAAAGCAAAGUAACAAGGAGAUUCUUGGACUCAAAUCCAAUGGUGUUUUAGUUGAGGGUCUUCAUUUCAAACCUGCUUUUGCUUCUUCUUUUGUUUUUAUUUUGAGAUUCUGCGAAUUGAUAUAGUAAUUUUCUUAUUAGUUCCAAGGGAUUGUGACACGUACUGACAUUUAAUUAAGUGUUUUUUACUGUGUUAUGUUAGUUUCUGUGAGUUAUUAAUGUUUAUGUUAUGUUAGGCCUAUUUUUGACUUUUAAGUUUUAUUAUUUUGUGUGCAUUUAAUAUUUUGUUUUGCCACCUGGGACAAAUUUAAAAUAUCUUGCAGCAUCACCCACCUAACAAGCAUUGCAGAAUGAUAAUGGGUUUACAGUGCAGAAAUUUAUGAUGUGCCAGAGAGAUAAAGCACUGAUAUGACCUUCCCAGGCGUGGAGUCAAAGAGCAUUUUCUUUUUUUUUCUUUGUGGUGGCUGACGACUACGGACACUAGAUCACUUGGUAAAGUUGAUAACACCUAAUGAAAAAAUAAUUGUUGAAAUUUAUGAAAAUUAGUUCUUUAGAAUAUUUUUUCACAUUUUUAAUUACUGCCUUUGUCAUUUGAUCGCUUAUCAUUGAUGAAUAUAACAGGGAAGAAUAAGGAACUCUAUAAAUAAUAUAUAUAUAUAUAUAUAUAUAUAUAUAUGUACAGCAUAUUAUUCUUUGGUCCUGAAGCUGAAGUUGUCUUGAUAGGUUACUGAUAGAGGGUUACUAGUGAUUAAAGGGUUCACUCAAAACAUGUUACUGCAGUUAGCCACACAAUUGAUGAAUACACUCUUGUUUCAGCAAUUCGACCAAAAGGGGCAUUAUUCACCUUGUUGGUUCCUGCCACAGGAUCAAUCUACUGGUCUGAAAGAUAUCCUGAGGAGAGAUUGGCACCCCAUUACAAUGCCGAACUAUAGGUUUCUGAUCAAGGAAGUGUGCCAACUAAUACAUGGACAUGAGGAAAAUCAUAUGUGAUAGUUGACGAAUAUAAUAUAAUGUGAAAGUUAAUUGAAUCAUUUUAUGUUUUGAGAACCAUUACAGUACUUCAUGAUAGUUUUGCUGACUAAUAUGGUACUUGAAUUUGAAUUUGAAUUCGUAUAUUUGU